UACGUAGGGGGCAAGCGUUGUCCGGAUUUAUUGGGCGUAAAGAGCGUGUAGGCGGCCAGGUAGGUCUGCUGUGAAAACUCGAGGCUUAACCUCGAGAUGUCGGCGGAAACCAUCUGGCUAGAGUCCGGAAGAGGAGAGUGGAAUUCCUGGUGUAGCGGUGAAAUGCGCAGAUAUCAGGAAGAACACCUAUGGCGAAGGCAGCUCUCUGGGACGGUACUGACGCUGAGACGCGAAAGCGUGGGGAGCGAACAGG
rnacentral:rRNA from 1 species